GGCGGGCUCAAGCUGCAGGUGUCACCUUUGGAGCCAGAGUUGGAGAAAGUCUAUUCUGUUGCUGCUUGGCCUUUCCCAGGGUCAAGGGUAAGCCACCCUUGCCAUUGUCCAGGAAUAUUCCUCGUGUGUCGAGCAGGCUUUUCCCCCGGCUUUUCUAUGAGGACCAACGCUGUGGAGAUUCACCUUCGACUCCUCCAGCGAGCCUGUUCCCCAUGCCAUGGACUCCAUGUCUGGAAGUGAACCCUCCCCAGCCCGGUCACCUCCGCCCAGCCCUCCUGUGCUGAGAAUCGGGCUCUUGUCUGGACUGCAGAUAGGGGAGUCCUAAGACGUUUGUCCUUUCGUCCUGGCUCGUUCUGCUCAGCAGUGUCUGCAGGUCCAUCCACAUCUUCGUGAGAACAAUGGAAUCUGAGGAGCUGACUCUGGGUUUCGCCUCACCGGGGACAUGGGGAGUGCAUUGCUGAGCCAGGUGACAGUCGUGUGUGACUCUCCAAGGAAGCUCCAAACUUUCGCACAGCAUCUGGGCCAGGAGGAAGCGGCCCCAGUGCCCGAGGCUCCUGCUCCUGUCUUCCAGAAUGACCCGUGGCCAGCUGUCCGAGGAGGACAAGGUAAUGCUUCUGCCAAAACGACCAUCCGUGGACUCACAGAAUGCUUCAUCCACCAUCAUGGAAUUCCUCACAACUUUGCCUCUGACCAAGGAGCACAUUUUACAGCAAAGAGUUUGGGCAGAAUUGUUUCUGUAUUUCUCGGGAUGGAACCUAGCAACUCAUGCAUGCCAGGCGGGCAUCUACCGCUGAGCUGCACCCGCUGGGCAGUUUCAUGUAAGCAGCUCCGGCAGCGUGUUUGGUUUCUUCUUUCGUGUAGCGGAACAACUGUUAACACCUGUUUCUGCUUUUGCGCAUCAAUCUUUUCUCUCAUUUUGUUUUGUUUUUUUUGA
rnacentral:lncRNA from 1 species